CACGCAUGUGACAGUUCCUAUAGUGUAACAAAUGCAAAUCUAUUGCCCAUUUCAUAAUUUGAAUCUACAGAAAACGUCCCUGUGUGAAUUGAAUCGAAAGAAAACAAUAAUGAUAAUAAAAUCAGAUUACAUGGGGACAGCACGCGCCUUGUACAUACAAAUAUAAGCCAUAUGCCAGUCACCUCCUCCAGAUAAUUUAGUAAUAUCCUCCUCCCGCUGUGGGAUGGGAUUAUCAUCAUCAUACUCGAUCCAUUUCCCAUUUUCUUGCUUUACCCAGGCAACAUA
rnacentral:misc_RNA from 1 species